rnacentral:lncRNA from 1 species
UCAAACGACCUUUCCAGAGAAGAUGAUUCAAAUUCUGCUAGUGCUUAAGGUUGCCUAUCCACAAAAACAGUUCAGGUAAAAAUCAAUUUAAUGCAAUCAAACGGUUGACCAAAAAGAAGAAUCCAAAAGAAAAACCAAAAAUUUGUUCCUAGGAAUUUUUUCAAGGGCAAAUGUGAUAGAUAGGUUGUUUACACAUGCUAUAUAUAUAGUUCUGCUUUCAUGCAUACCUGCCAUUCACAUUCAUGAAGAGCCGCCCCGCCUCUUCAUCAACCUAUUUAGUCAUCUUUUCCCGCAUUUAGACUACCACUGAUAAGAUUUUCCAUUUAGAGGUCUGUAAAACAACCAAGACAGACCCCAACAGCCAAAACAGACCCAAACUUUACACAUACUCCAUCUAAGACCGGUUUCUUCUUCCUCUUGUUACACGUUUCUGCUUUAUUUCUUUAGAAUUUUUUGGUUCCUUCUUUGCUCUAACUCAAACAGCAAUUCCUCUUAUUAGCCCCCAGCAGGAUAAGCUAAUAAAACUUAAAUGGACUGAGUUCCAGAAGAUUUUUGAAGAAGACAUGGAGGGGGCGGAAGAAUCCGUAAGUAUCUGCUUUUUACGCUUUGAGUAAUAUUGACUUAUUCUGAAUCUGACAACUUCUUUCAAACUUUGUUUGUAGUGGACUAUUAGAGAUGAAGAUAAAAUCCUGAUCAGAGCCCUGGUUGAAGCAGUUGAAGAGGUAAAACUCUCUCAACAGAAAUUUUAAAAAAAGACAGAAGACAAAAGGCAUACUAACAUUUGAAGUUUGCAGGAGAAGAAACAUAACGACAUAUGCAUGUACACUCCAAACAGCACAAGCAAUGUGUAAGCUUUCUUAACCCUUCCAAGUACUUUUGAAAAACAACGAAUCUAUGGACGACUGUUUCACCUUAAAACUUUUGGAAAAGAAUUGUUUUUUCAAUUGGAUGUUCUCCAGAACUUAAAAAAAAAAAUUAGUCGCAAUACUAUACUUUGCUAACUACCAACAUUGAACUCUCAAGUUAUCAAACACCUCUAUUAUGCAGACAGUGUAACAGUAUCCCGAAAGCACCAUGUCCUGGACUAAUAACUCAACAUUUUUUAUCUUUCAGCUCGGGCAAACAUUUCUUUCUCCACGACCAUUCAGAUAGAAGAAUCUUCAUGCUGGUCUACGAAAUGAAGAAGUAAGAUGGUUCAAUGUACUUCCAUGAUAUUAUUUUUAGUUAGAUCAAAAACCUUAUUCUAUCCCUUAAGGUUUUAUAUCAUAUUCUUAAUGUUCUACUACCUGCAUAACUUAUUCUUCUUUGUACUGAAAUUCUAAACUCUGUUAUUACCGUUUAUACUUUAUCAAAUUUCAUACAUAAUUCUUGAGGUAAGGUUAUUGCUCUUUGUUCUUAAUUGGUUUGUAUUCUAAAUUAGAACUAAAUAUAAUAUCUUAAGGAAGAAGUGGAUGUUUAAAGAGCACAAGGAUUCUGUAUGGAACAAUGCAAAGUAGUGUAGGUUUAUAGUAUAAAGAAUUACCACAAACAGUAAAGGAGGAACUUUACUAAUUAGCAGAAAAAAAAGAAUAGUAACGGAUUUAUUGACUACAUUGGAAAGUACCAGAAGAUUUGAAGUUUGAGGACAAGACUUGGAUAGUGAAGAAAAAGGACAAUAUCUCUCUCCAUAUGUAGCUGAAAUAACAUCUCCCCGUGGCAGGUUGACACUAAUUAACAGCAUCUUGGCCAGCAUCCCAACUUUCUUCAUGCCCCUUUUCCCUACUACCUACAAGGGUUUUAAAGCAGCUGGACUAAAUAAGGAGAAUUUCUCUUUGGGAAGGAUGUAGCACUCAACACAAGCUCCAUUUGGUUAAAUAUUCUAAUGUAAUCCAAAAAAAAGAGACAAUAUUCUUUUUUUAAUACAAAGGAAACUAUUCUUUGUUGUUCUGCAGUUUUUUUCUAAGAUUAAAAUAAUAUAUGUUAUAAUUUUAUUGUAUUCUUGUAUAAGCACAGAGUCAUAUAGUUUUCUACAAGGUCCACAAUAUACUACUCUGAGUAUUUCUAUAUAUGUCAAUGAAGAUUCAUCAUAUUUUAUGUCCUAUCGAAACUUCUGGAAGGAGCAAGAGGAAAAUUUCUUGAAGGAGCAAGGCAACUCAUCAGGUACAAGCGGAAAAGAAAGACAAGCAGCAGAUGAGGAAAACCAACCUUAAUGGAGAAAACUGAUUUUGAUUUUUUCAUACCUAUUGACAGAAAUUAGAAAACAGCUUAAACUUUCAGCUUUAUCAUGACCCAUAAGCAUAAUAUAGUCAUUG